AAAUGCGAUAAGUAAUGUGCAUUGCAGAAUUCAGUGAAUCAUCGAAUCUUUGAACGCACGUUGCGCUCCUUGGUAUUCCGAGGAGCAUGCCUGUUUGAGUGUCAUGGAAUUCUCAACUCUAUUUGCUUUUGUGAAUAGAGCUUGGAUUUGGAGGUUUAUUGCUGGUACUUGUGAUCGGCUCCUCUUGAAUGCAUUAGCUCGAACCUUUGCGGAUCAGCUAUCGGUGUGAUAAUUGUCUACGCCGUUGCAGUGAAGCAUAUCAAUGGGCUCGGCUUCCAAUCGUCCUUUACUGGACAAUGACUUUGACCUUUGACCUCAAAUCAGGUAGGAUUACCCGCUGAACUUAAGC
rnacentral:misc_RNA from 1 species